rnacentral:rRNA from 1 species
AUUGAACGCUGGCGGCAGGCUUAACACAUGCAAGUCGAGCGGAGCGAAGGUGCUUGCACCUUAGCUUAGCGGCGGACGGGUGAGUAAUGCUUAGGAAUCUGCCUAUUAGUGGGGGACAACGUUUCGAAAGGAACGCUAAUACCGCAUACGUCCUACGGGAGAAAGCAGGGGAUCUUCGGACCUUGUGCUAAUAGAUGAGCUUAAGUCGGAUUAGCUAGUUGGUGGGGUAAAGGCCUACCAAGGCGACGAUCUGUAGCGGGUCUGAGAGGAGGAUCCGCCACACUGGGACUGAGACACGGCCCAGACUCCUACGGGAGGCAGCAGUGGGGAAUAUUGGACAAUGGGCGAAAGCCUGAUCCAGCCAUGCCGCGUGUGUGAAGAAGGCCUUUUGGUUGUAAAGCACUUUAAGCGAGGAGGAGGAGCUUCAGGUUAAUACCCUGGAUGCUUGGACGUUACUCGCAGAAUAAGCACCGGCUAACUCUGUGCCAGCCGCCGCAGUAA